rnacentral:rRNA from 1 species
CGGCAUGCCUAACACAUGCAAGUCGAACGGAACUCUUUGGAUCAAGACUUCGGUCAAGUGAAUUAGAGUUUAGUGGCGGACGGGUGAGUAACGCGUGAGGAACCUGCCUUCCAGUGGGGGACAACAGUUGGAAACGACUGCUAAUACCGCAUAACAUUUCCGGACCGCAUGAUCUGGAAAUCAAAGCUUUAUGUGCUGGAAGAUGGCCUCGCGUCUGAUUAGCUAGUUGGUGGGGUAACGGCCCACCAAGGCGACGAUCGGUAGCCGAACUGAGAGGUUGAUCGGCCGCAUUGGGACUGAGACACGGCCCAGACUCCUACGGGAGGCAGCAGUGGGGGAUAUUGCACAAUGGGGGAAACCCUGAUGCAGCAACGCCGCGUGAGGGAAGAAGGUCUUCGGAUUGUAAACCUAAGUUGUCAGGGACGAAACAUGACGGUACCUGAAGAGAAAGCUCCGGCUAACUACGUG